ACUUCUUCUGUGUGUACGAAGUAAAGUUCCUGGUCAUCUCCUUAAAUCCUCCCUUGUCAUUGGCUGCAUCCAGGACUCUUUCAGGAGUCAUCAUGAGGGAGGAUGAGAAGCAUACAAAAGAAACAGCCUCAAGAACUUCCUUCUUCUUCUGGGACCCUCUGAGCACUCUCUGAGCUUUCUGGACCCUGUGAGCAACUCUCAAGUUCUGGAAGAAAAGAACAUAUAAAAUGUAAUUGAAGACGGUGGCUUCAGGCAAUUCCUAAUUAAGCAGAUGUAAACCUCCCUGUGAGAAUUGCACCUAAGAAAACCAAUGAACUACAUCAAUGCUGGAUAAAAUUUGGAUGUUCUGCCAGCAUUCACACACUUGGGAUGCAGCAAUAAAUGAAAGGAAUUGGUUCAUGAUUAUGUUCUGUGUGACACUUAAUAUGACUUAACAAUAAACCUUCUGGCUCUAAGCACAAGGAUUUAUUUAUUUACUUAUUUAUUUAUAACAACAACAACAACAACAAAAAUCAGCAUUUGGCUACUGCUGGAUUCAAGUUCCUGAGAUGAUAUUUCUUUUAUAAGGUCAUAAGACUGGUCGCUCAAUAUUCUCUUCAACAUUUAAAUUGUUUAACACAAUGCUAGAAGGAGUACUAACUUGGGAAACAGUCUGAUCACAGAUAAUCAAGUACCUUGAUGAAUUUGCUAUACACUGGCAGAUUGGGGACACUUAAGCAUGACAAAUUUAUGACAUUCUGAGCAUUAACUGGGAAGCCAACUGUACAACUGGAAGAGAAAGUGACUUAUGUUGGAAAUCAACACCAUGUCAACCAAGUUGCAAGACAAAUUACUACUGUUAAAAAACACACUAAAUAUAUGAUUGAGAUGGGAACUGGA